rnacentral:rRNA from 1 species
UACAGAGGUCUCAAGCGUUGUUCGGAUUCAUUGGGCGUAAAGGGUGCGUAGGCGGUCGGGUAAGUCUGAUGUGAAAUCUCAGAGCUCAACUCUGAAACUGCAUUGGAUACUAUUCGGCUUGAGGUCUGGAGGGGGGACUGGAAUUCUCGGUGUAGCAGUGAAAUGCGUAGAUAUCGAGAGGAACACCAGUGGCGAAGGCGAGUCCCUGGACAGUUCCUGACACUGAGACACGAAGGCCAGGGGAGCAAACGGG